rnacentral:tRNA from 1 species
CCCUUAGCUCAGUUGGUCAGAGCGGUCGGCUCAUAACCGAUCGGUCGUAGGUUCGAGUCCUACCUGUGGAGCCA